rnacentral:rRNA from 1 species
GGAAAGUUGAAAGGCGGCUUCGGCUGUCACUUACAGAUGGGCCCGCGGCGCAUUAGCUAGUUGGUGAGGUAACGGCUCACCAAGGCGACGAUGCGUAGCCGACCUGAGAGGGUGAUCGGCCACACUGGGACUGAGACACGGCCCAGACUCCUACGGGAGGCAGCAGUAGGGAAUCUUCCGCAAUGGACGAAAGUCUGACGGAGCAACGCCGCGUGAGUGAUGAAGGUUUUCGGAUCGUAAAACUCUGUUGUUAGGGAAGAACAAGUUGGGUAGUAACUGACCCAACCUUGACGGUACCUAACCAGAAAGCCACGGCUAACUACGUGCCAGCAGCCGCGGUAAUACGUAGGUGGCAAGCGUUGUCCGGAAUUAUUGGGCGUAAAGCGCUCGCAGGCGGUCCUUUAAGUCUGAUGUGAAAUCUCGCGGCUCAACCGCGAACGGUCAUUGGAAACUGGAGGACUUGAGUACAGAAGAGGAGAGUGGAAUUCCACGUGUAGCGGUGAAAUGCGUAGAGAUGUGGAGGAACACCAGUGGCGAAGGCGACUCUCUGGUCUGUAACUGACGCUGAGGAGCGAAAGCGUGGGGAGCGAACAGGAUUAGAUACCCUGGUAGUCCACGCCGUAAACGAUGAGUGCUAGGUGUUAGGGGGUUUCCGCCCCUUAGUGCUGAAGUUAACGCAUUAAGCACUCCGCCUGGGGAGUACGGCCGCAAGGCUGGAACUCAAAAGAAUUGACGGGGGCCCGCACAAGCGGUGGAGCAUGUGGUUUAAUUCAAAGCAUCGCGAAGAACCUUACCAGGUCUUGACAUCCUCUGCUAUUCCUAGAGAUAGGAAGUUCCCUUCUGGGACAA